rnacentral:rRNA from 1 species
GAUGAACGCUAGCGGCAGGCCUAACACAUGCAGGUCGAGGGAGGAGCUUUCGGGCUUCGACCGGCGUACGGGUGCGUAACGCGUAUACAAUCUGCCUUUCACAUAGGGAUAGCCCGAAGAAAUUUGGAUUAAUACCUAAUGGUAUAUAGGAGUGGCAUCACAUUUAUAUUAAAGCUGAGGCGGUGAAAGAUGAGUAUGCGUUCUAUUAGCUAGUUGGAGAGGUAACGGCUCCCCAAGGCGACGAUAGAUAGGGGUUCUGAGAGGGAUAUCCCCCACACUGGUACUGAGAUACGGACCAGACUCCUACGGGAGGCAGCAGUGAGGAAUAUUGGACAAUGGUCGGAAGACUGAUCCAGCCAUGCCGCGUGCAGGAAGACGGCCUUAUGGGUUGUAAACUGCUUUUGCAGGGGAAGAAUAAGGACUACGAGUAGUUUGAUGACGGUACUCUGCGAAUAAGCAUCGGCUAACUCCGUG